AGCGAACCCUUCGGGGUUAGCGGCGGACGGGUGAGUAACGCGUGGGAAUAUGCCCUUUGCUACGGAAUAGCCCCGGGAAACUGGGAGUAAUACCGUAUACGCCCUUUGGGGGAAAGAUUUAUCGGCAAAGGAUUAGCCCGCGUUGGAUUAGGUAGUUGGUGGGGUAAUGGCCUACCAAGCCGACGAUCCAUAGCUGGUUUGAGAGGAUGAUCAGCCACACUGGGACUGAGACACGGCCCAGACUCCUACGGGAGGCAGCAGUGGGGAAUCUUAGACAAUGGGGGCAACCCUGAUCUAGCCAUGCCGCGUGAGUGAUGAAGGCCCUAGGGUUGUAAAGCUCUUUCAGCUGGGAAGAUAAUGACGGUACCAGCAGAAGAAGCCCCGGCUAACUCCGUGCCAGCAGCCGCGGUAAUACGGAGGGGGCUAGCGUUGUUCGGAAUUACUGGGCGUAAAGCGCACGUAGGCGGACCGGAAAGUUGGGGGUGAAAUCCCGGGGCUCAACCUCGGAACUGCCUUCAAAACUAUCGGUCUGGAGUUCGAGAGAGGUGAGUGGAAUUCCGAGUGUAGAGGUGAAAUUCGUAGAUAUUCGGAGGAACACCAGUGGCGAAGGAGGCUCUCUGGCUCGAUACUGACGCUGAGGUGCGAAAGCG
rnacentral:rRNA from 1 species